rnacentral:rRNA from 1 species
GACGAACGCUGGCGGCGUGCUUAACACAUGCAAGUCGAACGGAAAGGCCCUGCUUUUGUGGGGUGCUCGAGUGGCGAACGGGUGAGUAACGCGUGAGUAACCUGCCCUUGACUUUGGGAUAACUUCAGGAAACUGGGGCUAAUACCGGAUAGGAGCUCCUGCUGCAUGGUGGGGGUUGGAAAGUUUCGGCGGUUGGGGAUGGACUCGCGGCUUAUCAGCUUGUUGGUGGGGUAGUGGCUUACCAAGGCUUUGACGGGUAGCCGGCCUGAGAGGGUGACCGGCCACAUUGGGACUGAGAUACGGCCCAGACUCCUACGGGGGGCAGCAGUGGGGAAUAUUGCACAAUGGGCGGAAGCCUGAUGCAGCAACGCCGCGUGCGGGAUGACGGCCUUCGGGUUGUAAACCGCUUUCGCCUGUGACGAAGCGUGAGUGACGGUAAUGGGUAAAGAAGCACCGGCUAACUACGUG